CUAUCACCAAGCGUCUCAGUAUUUGGGGAUAAUUGGCUCCAAGUGGCCAUUGCUCUUUUUGUACACACCCAGCAAAUCCAAGGCACCUCUUCCUAAGCGAUCCACAUGCUAAAGCUUGGUCUGUACCUCUCAAAGGAGAACUCCUGGCUGGUUAACAGACAGGAGUUGGAAUGACAGUCAGAAGACAGAGUGGUGACUCCACGGAGAACCUGUGGCUUCCCAACUGCUGCUGUGCCCACCAGCCCACGCUGCUUCUCUCAUCACCUCCUCAGCUGUUCCCACUCUGCAGGGACAGGCAGUCCAAGGGUAAAAGGCUGAGCUGGAAAAAACAGAAGUGACAGCCACCAGCCCCCACAGGGAUCUGCUUGGAGCUGAGACACAUGGAUGCCUUCUACUCUGGAGACAAAUCUCUUCCCUGGCAUUCAGCAGCCUCCCUGGGAAUGGAGCAGCAAAUAGACUGCAGGUAAAGGUGUGUUAGCUGGUUUUGGAUCCAGCAGCAUCUGCAGGGAUGUCUGCUUGGAAACCUCUUGCACCUCUGUUCCAAUGGCACAGACAUGUUUCUCAAAGUCUGAAAAGGAAGCUCAAGUCCAUAAUCAGCAUACUCUUCCUGCACUCUUGCAUCAGGAAGAUUCCAGAGAGCUGAGGAGCACUAUCAACGCAAGAGCGGUGUGGACCAUUUUACAUGUAGCAACAUCAGCUUGCAAGACUUGCCUGUAAUUUAUGGACUGCCUGGAAGAAAGAACCACUUCCAUCGGCAGGGAGAAUUGCCUAAAAUGGCUAAAAACACAUCCAAGAUAACAAUUGGUGGUCAGGCAGCGGUUUCCAAACAACUACUCAACAGAAGGACUCACAUCCUCUUGUGUAACUGGUCAAGCUUGAGGCCAAGCUCCUGUCAAUGACCCACUGCAAAUUCCAUCUUUUAUUGGUGAGCAAGGAGAGAUUCAGUCCUCAAAAAAGGAGGCUUGGCUGGCUUGUGCUGUUAGGAUUUCCGCUGUGGAAAUAGGCACGGAGAAGACUGAUAACAUGGAUGAGGAGGGGCGGAAGGAAGCAGGCCCCUGUUUGUGGAGUGCUGCUAUUUCUGCUGGGAUUUAAAACUGUCCUUUGGAGCAAAGUUGAAACAGUCACUAUAAAUGACUUGCAUGAUUGUCAUUCAGCCAUUGUCGCUCUGUGUGUAUCUCUUCAAAUGCAGCACCCUUGGAAGGACACGCAAGGGGGACACAAAUUUUGCCCUCAGUUACACCUGUGUAAUUUUGGAGUAAGACAGUGAACUUUGGUAGACUUUGAAUUUACAUGAGCAAAACACAGAGCAGGAAGUGAAUGCCAAAUAAAAACUAGGAAGACAAUCAAAACUAACAUCACAUCCUGCACGCCCCAGACUGCACAAGGUUAGUGCCUUUUCUAUCAUA